rnacentral:rRNA from 1 species
UACGUAGGGCGCAAGCGUUGUCCGGAUUCACUGGGUGUAAAGGGUGCGCAGGCGGACUGGCAAGUCAGGGGUGAAAUCUCACAGCUCAACUGUGAAACUGCCUUUGAUACUGCUGGUCUUGAGUCAGGGAGAGGUUGAUGGAAUUCCAGGUGUAGCGGUGAAAUGCGUAGAUAUCUGGAAGAACACCGGUGGCGAAGGCGGUCGAACUGGCCCUGAACUGACGCUACAGGCACGAAAGCGUGGGGAUCAAACAGGAU